AACUGAAAAUAACACCGUUUGGUUAACAAAUCAGCAUUUCUUCCAAGUAAACGUUAUCUACUCUAAUUCUGGCAAACUGUCUCGAUUAUGUUAACCACUAUUUUCACCUCUAGCAGUUUUCCAUUGCAAACGAUGGCAUAAUAGCCGUCAGUUAAAUGAUUCGCGGGAAUGUGACAUUCAAAAAAAUACCGUUAUAAAUCUGCGUUCCAUCAUCACCAUCGCAACCAAACGCACAGAUAACCGCGCGAGGAAUGAUUCUUGAACGCCUGUGGUUUAAAGGGGCAGACUGCGGCGCUGCGCAUGCGUGUUGCUGACGUCGGUUUGUGUGUGUGUGAGUGAAACAGCAGAGGUUGUGUAUUGCUGCUGAUGAGAGAGAGAGAGAUAGAUAUAACUAAAACAUCAUCCGUCGACUAAAAAACAGGACCUCUCAUCUUAAACUUUGGAUUUCAGGUUAACGGAUAAAUCGCCGCCGAAGGAUUAAAAUGAAAGGGAUUCGCGCUUUAUUGUGGGAUUAUCGGUGGUCUCGAGCUGAUUUGAUCCCGCUAACAGGCUAAUAACAAGCGCAGGUGGAUGACUCGCGAGACUCGACCUGGAUGUUGGCCUGUUUUUAAGAGAUAAACUGAGGAAUAAAACGCCUAGCAUCAAACCAAAUUAAGGAUUUAAAUCAACUCUGACGGGAACCAGAAACAUAUCACGGGUCUUCUUUUAUUUCGAACUGGAAAAUCAAAUGAGCGGGGGUCGUAUGGGCCAGCUAACGGGUUUAACUUACCUCAGAUGUGGAGGAUGCUGAUGCUAACCGCGCUAGCACAAUCUAUCAUUUAAGGGAUUUUGUUUUUAGUCAUAACAAAAUGACAGCUGUUUAGAACAUAGUCUGUUGUGCUUAACCUAUAAAAUAUGUAAAGCUUUAUUCUCUCAGACAGCGAGACAAUCUGGGUGUAAUGAUUGAAUACACUGCCUCGUGUUUAUAUAUCUUUAUGUCUUUAAUAAUUACUAGUUAAACCAGGGAAGUGUCAAGCCUGUAAUAAAUGUACCAUUAAUGUGAACUUCUAAUGAGUUGCUAAUGAGGCAGGCACAGUUUUUUAACACUAGGAAGUUGGGGGUUAUGAAUUAACUCAAAUGGAAUUUGGAUAUAAAGUCAAAUUGCAGUGAUAUAGCUUUCUAUUUUAUGUAAUUUCAUGUAUUCUCAUACAUAUAUAGAUUCUAAAAUUGUAUUUUUCAUAAAGAAUUUCUGAGUUUUUUUUAUGAGUAGUAAUCUUAAGCAGUGAGGUAAUGCUGUUAUUAUGUGUUGAUUAGGAUGUGGAUCAGCAUGUUUUGAGAAGUUUUAUGUUAAAUGGAUUAGAUGUGACUUUGAAUGCGGAACAGGGAAAGGGCCAACAUUUAUUUUUUUCAUGGAGAGAUUUGCAUAUCGGAAAAAAUAUCUCAGCCCAUAUGAGCUGUAUUAUGGCAGUGAAACAUUAUCCCUGUGUCCACAAAAGUAAACAGUAGUUGAUCAUUUACAGGGAGGUGGACGCUUACGCAUGGGUCUCGACAAGGAUAUUUCUUUUGGUGCGUAUGCUGGAAGAGGCCACCAACUGCUUUUGAAUUCCGAACAUUAUUACCUUGUGGAAUCGUAAAGGAUUAGAAUUUCUGGAAUAUUUCCAUUGUCAGAGGAGAGAAAUCUUCUUUUCAAUGGAGCAAGUUCUCUCCAGCCCUCAGGGGUGUUCUGAGUGGGAGGUGAGCGGGAAAGCGGAGUGGGAAUCCGAGCAGAAUCCCCUCGGAUUUCUCCUUAUGGAUAAAGAUAACAGUUCUGUUGGUGAGUCUACUAAUGAAAUUUUUCAGGAAAAUGCCAUAAACCUAGAUGACCUCUUUUGGUCCUCUCAGUAUUCUGGGCAGACGUAUUCCUGGGAAAAUGGUUUGGAAUGUGUCUAUCCCGAAUGGAAGACUCCGCCUCAUCCUUCCCAAGAUCUCAAAGGAGAGGGUUCUCCUGGAGGUUCUGAAAUUGUUGAUGGAGAUCUCAUCUGUUUUAAUUCUAGAUCUACUAGUCCUACGCUCUCAAACAUACCUGUGCAGAACCAAAACAACUUUUAUGACCUUCCUGAACAGGUGCCUGAUUUCCUGCAACCUGUGGAGGUUACUGCCACUUCAAACUCUCUAGAUGUGUACACAAUUCAGUCCGACAAAACAAUACUACAAGAAACUCACCUCCUUGAGGACACACUUUUAACAAACUGUGAAUUCAGCCAUAAUUCCUUAGAGGAAAGAACAUUUGUGAACAACGGCAGUCAGUGCUUCCUUCCACACGGGAUUCAUCUCACUCUGGAAUCUGAAGGUUUGUUGCCCGUUUCUCCUGUGGAGUUGUCAUGUACAGAUACGAACUCAAAUCCCAAGCCUUCAGUUAUUUGUCAGACACCUUUAUCUACACCAGAACACAUCUACCUCCCAUCCUCAACCCUUUACUGUGAGGCCAUCCCUCCAAUGACCUGUACAGAACCAACUGUCCUGUCAUUUCACGAGGGUAGUGCCCCCCUUCCAAUGAAUGAGAUAGAGAUGUUGUUACCUGGGCUGCUGGUUGGAGGUCUAUACUCUGAACAGGAGAGUAGUAAGCCCUCAGCUAGUAACGAGACCCAUGGCGAUGAUCUUCAGAGCCAAGAGACAACAGACGCUAACAUAGAAAAAACACAACUAUCUUCUGAAGCAGAGACUGUCUGUAGGACUCCAUUAGGUGAGUCUUGCAUAUCACCUGAACUUUGUGAAGAAGUGUUGUGUGAUUUAUCCACAGAAUGCACAUUUGAUGUACCAUUGGAAACGGUUGGAGAAAAGAUAGAGGAGGAGGUUGCAUCCAAUUCUACAACUGAUAAUGUUUUUUCUAAAGCAAAAACAGAACUCGCACCAAUUGCUUUUGUUGAUUUACAAGCAGAAGAUCCUUUAACUGAAAGUCUACUUGUCAAAUAUGAACAUAAAGAGUCCACAACAGCCUUGCCAGUCAGCACAUCUGAGCAUAAUGCCUUGAUUGGCCUCUCGCCUGAAGAUGACAUCUUAUCUGAUGACCACAGCCAGCCCACACAUUCAACUGAGGCUGAAGCCUUAUCUGAGGUGCCAUAUGAUGGAGAUAUUCCUGAUUCCAUGUUUGAGAUCUUAACAGACAGCAUCUCUUGUGAAUCUGUGCCAUCUUCAGACUCUGUCAUUCCACCUGUGACAGAUGCUGUUGAGCUAACAGAACAGGACAAAUGUGAUGCAAACUCACCCGAUCUUAAAUCUAAUGCACUCACCUUUGAAUUUCAGGAUAAUGUAACAAAUGUAGAAACAGACAACGUAGACGGUGACCCUGAGGCUAUGGAGACACAGCGAGCCGAUGUUACACCCACAAUAGGUAACACAGAAGACUCAGACACACUCAAAGUUUUAGAGAGCUCAGAUUUGCAUCAAAAUCAGGAGGUAACCAAUUCGCAAAGCAAGUCGGACAGUUUGGAAAUUGUUAAUUUAAACCUAGAUAACAGUAAAGCUGGCAACAAUCAAGAACUGAAUGCAAUGAGUGAAACCUGUCAGGAACAAGUCAGUGCUCAACAAAAAGAGAGCACGCUUGUGGAAAACCUCACACCUUUGGACCAACUGAAUGACUCUUUGACUGCAAACUCAAGUGCAAUUGUAAUAGAUACACCUGAAGAAAAUGUAACCGCUCACAAUUACGGUCACGAUACACCGCCGAAUGUUGAAGAGAAACUUUACAGUGUGUCUUUACAGGGAGGGGAGAGAUCAGAUUGCAUUUUGUCUACUCAGAAUCAAGUCAUACCUCAUUGUGCAAGUAAUCCUGAUUCUUUAGAGUCCACUCCCUUCACCUGUGCAGGUGAUCAGCUGACCGUGACGGGUGGACUUGUGGGGCCGGAUCUUACAGAGACUCCCAGCCAAUUGCGUGAAGCUACAGGAGAGGGAGAGGCGGAGUUUCCUGCUCAGCUUACACAUCAGGAGGAUUUCCAUCAGCUGACACCAUCACAGAUAGACCUGGCACAAGAGCAACAAGUGAGCUCAAUAGCCCCCAGCUCUCCUCCCUCCCACAGAAAUGUCUUUCCCUGUGGAGCCAGCCUGGAUGGGGAGGCCUACCUGACCUUGAUGGAGAAUAAUCCUGAUGCUCCCAACAUUCCCAAACAUGCAGAAAUGACUCUGGAUCUGUGCAAGGCCUCAGAUGCCGUGCCGACCAAAUCGCUCCAUGACCAGAGGGUCCCCGUGGAUUUGAUAAACGUGCCUAUAGUUUCCGCAACAGCAUAUAAAAGCGAGGAGCAGUCGGCUCUCCGAGCGGUUUUCCAGGCUUUGGAUCAGGACGGGGAUGGAUUUGUUCAUAUUGAGGAGUUCAUCGAGUUUGCAAAAGCAUAUGGAGCCGAACAGGUGAAGGAUCUGACACGGUUCUUGGAUCCCAGCGGUCUGGGUGUGAUCAGUUUUGAGGAUUUCCACAGAGGCAUCAGCGCAAUCAGCAAUGAAGGAUCUGAUCCAGACCUCUACAAGACUCAUCUCAGCGCAGUGGAAGCCAAUGGACCUCCAGAGGAAUAUGACGAGCAAGCGGAGGUCUCAGACAGCGCCUAUCUCGGGUCGGAGAGCGCCUACAGUGAGUGCGAAACCUUCACGGACGAGGACACGACGGCUCUGGUCCAUCCAGAACUCCAUGAGGACGUGGAGACCGACAGCGGCAUUGAAAACACACUCACUGAUGGAGACGAUCGCAACAGGUUCACAUUGGGCUCUGAUUUGAAUGGCCACACCCUCGUGGCCGUGAUUGGAGGAGAGGAGGAGCACUUUGAGGAUUUCGGUGAGAGUAACAACACUUCAGACCUGCUGCUGGCCAAUCGGGAGGAUGGAGGGGUGGGGCCAGAGGGGGAGGGAACUACAGAGCCACACCCAGACAGCCCACUGCCCCGCCCACUGAUGCUGCUGUCGCCUAGUUCCAGCAAGAGGCUGUCCAGUAAGAAAGCAGCAAGACACUUGCAGCAGUCUGGCACUCUGGAUGUCAUGGGAGAUCUGACUCAAGACAUUUUGAACCUUGCGGAUCGUGACAUCACAGACAAGGUGUUGCUGUUGGAGAAGCGCGUGUGCGAGCUGGAGAAGGACUCGUCGGAGAGCGAAGAGCAGCAUGCACGCCUGCGGCAGGAGAACCUCACUCUCGUCCAUCGCGCAAAUGCUCUGGAGGAACAGCUGAAGGAGCAGGAGCUGCGCGCGGAGGACGACUUACUCGCGCACACACGUAAACACAGAAAUGCUCUGAACAAACUCCAGCGAGAGAGAGACCUGGAGAUCGAGAACCUCCAGGCCAGGUUGCAUCAGUUGGAUGAGGAGAACAGUGAGCUGAGGUCAUGUGUUCCCUGUCUGAGAGCCAACAUCGAGAGACUGGAGGAGGAAAAGAGGAAACUUCAGGAUGAGGUAGACGACGUCACAGAUCGACUGAACGAAGAAAUCGAAUCUCGCAGGAAAAUGGCCGACAAACUGAGCCAUGAACGUCACACAAACCAGAAAGAGAAGGAGUGCACUCAGGGGUUGAUAGAGGACUUAAGAAAGCAGCUGGAACACCUGCAGCUGUUUAAGUUGGAGACUGAAGUGAGAAGAGGCCGAUCGGCCAGCUCCGGCCUGCAGGAAUACAACACUCACAUGAAAGAGAACGAACUGGAGCAGGAGAUACGCAGACUCAAACAGGAUAACCGCAGUCUGAAGGAGCAGAACGACGAGCUGAACGGUCAGAUCAUUAAUCUGAGCAUCCAGGGAGCAAAGAGUCUUUUUACAGAGUCACUCUCAGAGUCACUCGCUGCCGAGAUCAACAACGUCUCCCGCGCUGAGCUGAUGGAGGCCAUCCACAAACAGGAGGAGAUCAGCUUCCGCCUGCAGGACUACAUUGAUCGCAUCAUUGUCGCCAUCAUGGAGUGUAACCCCUCCAUCCUGGAGGUCAAAUAAUCACCAUUGCGACAACCCUGAUUUAUGAACUGAAACGGGAGGCGAGAGGCAUAAAGAACAGACUUGCAGAUGAUGUGAAGAAUCCAAUCAUUAUUUUGAUCAAAUAAUUUAACAAUUCAGAGCACUGUUAGUUGAAUGAGUGUGUGUGUGUGUGUGAACGGCCCUGUCCUUCGGUUCCUGUGACUUCCCUGUGUUUUGGGAUUGAGGCGCCAAUUCCCUCUGUAUAUGUGUUCACAAUUCAUAGAUUGAAUUUCAGUGUAAGAAACUAGUUUAAGUUACCAGUGUAAGUCUGGUUUAAGCAGUCACACCGUUAGCCCAUGUGAGGGACAUUUGCUGACCUGAGGGUUGAGCGUGUGCGUACGAUUAGCUCGUAAACGAGUUUUUGCAGAACGUUUUUUUCUUUCAAUUCUUAUUUAUUAAGAUGAUGCAGAACGCAAAGGAUCAAGGGAGGCCGACGCCCACCAAGGGAGCUCGCAGUGUUGCAUUGUGGCACGCCAUUAUGGAAGUACAUCCCUCUCAUCCGGCACAAGCAUGUUUGAUUUGUAUUUUUUUUUUCCUCCGGAAAAUCCCAAGCUGCAGUUCACAUGUUUCUUUUCCCUCUGGUUUUAAGACCCGUCCUAUCAGUUUUUCUUAUAAGACGAUGUUGGAGAACAUUAGAAGACGAUUCCACUGCUGUCACGUCUGUAUGGCUGUUUUAAAGCUACUGGAAUGAUACUGAUGGACCUUAAAGCGCGGGAACUUUGCUUCUGUAAACUUUUGAAUACACGUGCGUUUACCGCCGGCUGCCUCGUUCCUUAAUUUCCUUACAGAGACGAUAAGGAAAGGCCUGAAUCUACUGCUCUUGACCUGUCUGAUGUUAAACAGCUGUUUUCAGUGUCCAAAGACAGCAUUUCACCGCUUAGAAGGAGUUCUGCUUGCCACUUAGACUUUAAAAGACUAAUAAUAGUUAUAAAUACAUGUUAAUAAAACAAAAAAGUACUCCUCGUAAUGAAGGAUACAAUUGUAAAAAAAAAAAAAUGUUUACUCUAAUUGUUGAGGUUACUGUAUAAAUGAAAGAUAUCAGUAUUGUCUUCUGUUUUGCUUUCUUUUGAAGAUGCCCCUAUAAGAUGUAUCUUUUACAGUUCGGGGUUUUAAAGAUUUUCAAAUAAUUGUAUGAAGGUUAAAAGAAAAGUGAAAAUAAAUUAGUCACCA